UACGUAGGGGGCAAGCGUUGUCCGGAAUCAUUGGGCGUAAAGAGCGCGUAGGCGGCCCUGUAAGUCCGCUGUGAAAGUCAAGGGCUCAACCCUUGGAUGCCGGUGGAUACUGCAGGGCUAGAGUCCGGAAGAGGCGAGUGGAAUUCCUGGUGUAGCGGUGAAAUGCGCAGAUAUCAGGAGGAACACCGGUGGCGAAGGCGGGAUCCUGGGCCAGUACUGACGCUGAGGAGCGAAAGCGUGGGGAGCAAACAGG
rnacentral:rRNA from 1 species